UACGUAGGGGGCGAGCGUUGUCCGGAUUCAUUGGGCGUAAAGCGCGCGCAGGCGGUGGCGUGAGCCCGGCGUGAAAGCCCCCAGCUCAACUGGGGGAGGCCGUCGGAGACCGCGACACUUGAGGCCGGUAGGGGAGAGCGGAAUUCCCGGUGUAGUGGUGGAAUGCGUAGAUAUCGAGAGGAACACCAGUGGCGAAGGCGAGUCCCUGGACAACACCUGACACUGAGGCACGAAAGCUAGGGGAGCAAACAGG
rnacentral:rRNA from 1 species